rnacentral:rRNA from 1 species
UACGUAGGGGGCAAGCGUUGUCCGGAAUUAUUGGGCGUAAAGAGCGUGUAGGCGGCCAGGUAGGUCAGCUGUGAAAACUCGAGGCUCAACCUCGAGCUGUCGGCUGAAACCAUCUGGCUAGAGUCCGGAAGAGGAGAAUGGAAUUCCCGGUGUAGCGGUGAAAUGCGCAGAUAUCAGGAGGAACACCAACAGCGAAGGCAGCUCGCUGGGACGGUACUGACGCUGAGGCGCGAAAGCGUGGGGAGCGAACAGG